rnacentral:rRNA from 1 species
ACGAACGCUAGCGGCGUGCCUAAGAAAUGCAAGUCGAGCGGGGUGGAGCGAUCCACCUAGCGGCGAACGGUCGCGUAACACGUAAGCAACCUGCCCCGAAGACCGGGACAACACCUCGAAAGGGGUGCUAAUACCGGAUGUGGUUGUUGGUGGGCAUCCACCGGCACCUAAACCAGGAGACUGGCUUCGGGAUGGGCUUGCGGCCUAUCAGCUAGUUGGUGGGGUAACGGCCUACCAAGGCGACGACGGGUAGCUGGUCUGAGAGGACGGCCAGCCGGACUGGGACUGAGAUACGGCCCAGACUCCUACGGGGGGCAGCAAUUAGGAAUCUUGCACAAUGGGCGAAAGCCUGAUGCAGCGACGCCGCGUGGAGGACGAAGUCUUUUGGGACGUAAACUCCUUUUGUGAGGGACGAACACAAUGACGGUACCUCACGAAUAAGCCCCGGCUAACUACGU